rnacentral:rRNA from 1 species
UACGGAGGGGGCUAGCGUUGUUCGGAAUUACUGGGCGUAAAGCGUACGUAGGCGGCUUUGUAAGUUAGAGGUGAAAGCCCGGGGCUCAACCCCGGAACUGCCUUUAAGACUGCAUCGCUUGAAUCCGGGAGAGGUGAGUGGAAUUCCGAGUGUAGAGGUGAAAUUCGUAGAUAUUCGGAAGAACACCAGUGGCGAAGGCGGCUCACUGGACCGGUAUUGACGCUCAUGCACGAAAGCGUGGGGAGCGAACAGG